GUGGGGAAUUUUGGACAAUGGGGGCAACCCUGAUCCAGCCAUUCCGCGUGAGUGAAGAAGGCCUUCGGGUUGUAAAGCUCUUUCGUCAGGAACGAAACGGCGGGCUCUAACAUAGCCUGUUAAUGACGGUACCUGAAGAAGAAGCACCGGCUAACUACGUGCCAGCAGCCGCGGUAAUACGUAGGGUGCGAGCGUUAAUCGGAAUUACUGGGCGUAAAGCGUGCGCAGGCGGAUUGUUAAGCAAGACGUGAAAUCCCCGGGCUUAACCUGGGAAUGGCGUUUUGAACUGGAAGUCUAGAGUGCGUCAGAGGGGGGUGGAAUUCCACGUGUAGCAGUGAAAUGCGUAGAGAUGUGGAGGAACACCGAUGGCGAAGGCAGCCCCCUGGGAUGACACUGACGCUCAUGUACGAAAGCGUGGGUAGCAAACAGGAUUAGAAACCCCAGUAGUCC
rnacentral:rRNA from 1 species